UGAUGGCUCAGGGCCUGAUGUUUGCAUCCUGCGAAACACUGCUUCAGCCUUACGAUACUGCUUGGCUCUUCCAUAUGCUUCCAUCAGUGCAGUCUGAGAUAUCACGCUUGGUUUGUAACCUUUCUUGUUCAUAUACUUCAGGACCCUCUCCGCUCUGCUAAAAUCUCCUAAUUUUCCAUAGGCCGUAACAAGCAUCAAAAAGUCCAUCUCACUGAAGUUCCACCAAUGUUGUGUGCGUAGCCAUUCAAGAAUCUGAAAAAUGAGGCAUAGAAAUUCAAAUAUUUAUGAACUCUUCAAAUCACAUUCUAUUGUAGAUGAAACAAUAGCAGCUAGCUAGUUAGUCAACAGGACGGCUUCAUAUUGGAUAAUAUGCUGCAAGAGAAUAUACCUCGCUGACCAGGUUCCAUUUCUUGAGCUGUUUGAACCGCAUAAGAGUUCCAAGAACAGCAUCCCUUGGCAGUGGUUCUUUCUUGCUUCGCUGAGUCUUCAGAAUGGAGACAGCUGAUCCUGACUCUUCUAUCUCCCUCAUCAUCAUCCUCCAAUUCUUCUGCUCUGCUUCAUCAGCAGCAUCCUUAUAUACCUCCUCUUUCUUCUUCUUCUGCAUGAA
rnacentral:sRNA from 1 species